CCUACGGGUGGCAGCAGUCGAGAAUCAUUCACAAUGGGGGAAACCCUGAUGGUGCGACGCCGCGUGGGGGAAUGAAGGUCUUCGGAUUGUAAACCCCUGUCAUGUGGGAGCAAAUUAAAAAGAUAGUACCACACGAGGAAGAGACGGCUAACUCUGUGCCAGCAGCCGCGGUAAUACAGAGGUCUCAAGCGUUGUUCGGAAUCACUGGGCGUAAAGCGUGCGUAGGCUGUUUCGUAAGUCGUGUGUGAAAGGCGCGGGCUCAACCCGCGGACGGCACAUGAUACUGCGAGACUAGAGUAAUGGAGGGGAAACCGGAAUUCUCGGUGUAGCAGUGAAAUGCGUAGAUAUCGAGAGGAACACUCGUGGCGAAGGCGGGUUCCUGGACAUUAACUGACGCUGAGGCACGAAGGCCAGGGGAGCGAAAGGGAUUAGAUACCCUUGUAGUC
rnacentral:rRNA from 1 species